AAGGGCACCACAAGAACGCGUGGAGCAUGUGGCUUAAUUUGACUCAACGCGGGAAAUCUUACCGGGUCCGGACACACUGAGGAUUGACAGGUUUCAAUACCAUUACUUUGUUAAUGUUAUUAUAAAUAUGCUAGUCCUUUCAUGAUUAUGUGAUAGGUGGUGCAUGGCCGUUCUUAGUUCGUGGAGUGAUCUGUCUGCUUAAUUGCGUUUCACAUAGAGUCUAUAUUAUAAUGUAUGUUGCGGCUUUUCUUAGACCCCUUCAUUUCGGUGAAGCGCGUGUCUUUGAUUAUUAGUUUAGCUCAUACUUUUUAGACUCUGAAAGCAACGAACGUGACCGCAACCUCUUGUUGCCUUUAUACCAAAUGCAUUCAUUUGUCUUUAUGGCUAUGAUGUAUAAAAAGGCCAUAUGGCAUUCACUCUUCAACGAGUAUGGUGUCAAAACUAGAGGGACCGCUGUUACUUUCUUAAACCAGAGGAAGGUUGCGGCAAUAACAGGUCUGUGAUGCCCUUAGAUGUUCCGGGCUGCACACGUGCUACAAUGAUUAUUGCAGUGAGCAUCUCAUUUUUUUUACACACCGCAUGCGUGAGUCUAUUUGUGCACUUACCUAUGGUAUGUUUGCUACAAAUAUGUAUCUCUACGCGCGGUAAAGCCUGCUUCGAAAGUAAGUGGGUAAUCAAUUAGAAGUAAUGAUUUCCCUCAAUUUUAGCACAAAUAUAUACGGCGUCAUUACCCGACUUGGCCUUGUUGCCUUGUUCUGUGCGUAAAGAUGUUUUCUUCCGUAUGUGCAAUUGUCAAUUCACGGUGGGGACAGACCAUUGUUAAUUGUUGGUCUCGGUCUUAACUAGGAAUGCCUUGUACUGGUCUUUGGUUCAACAAACCACCAGGAAUACGUCCCUGCCCUUUGUACACACCGCCCGUCA
rnacentral:rRNA from 1 species